CACGUAGGCACCAAGCGUUGUCCGGAUUUAUUGGGCGUAAAGAGCUUGUAGGCGGUUCGGUAAGUCGGGUGUGAAACCUCUGGGCUCAACUCAGAGACGCCACCCGAUACUGCUGUGACUAGAGUGUGGUAGGGGAGCGGGGAAUUCCUGGUGUAGCGGUGAAAUGCGCAGAUAUCAGGCGGAACACCCGUGGCGAAGGCGGCCAGCUGGGCCGUCCCUGACGCUGAGGCGCGAAGGCGUGGGGAGCGAACGGG
rnacentral:rRNA from 1 species